UGGGGAAUUUUGGACAAUGGGGGAAACCCUGAUCCAGCCAUCCCGCGUGUGCGAUGAAGGCCUUCGGGUUGUAAAGCACUUUUGGCAGGAAAGAAACGUCGCGGGUUAAGUACCCCGCGAAACUGACGGUACCUGCAGAAUAAGCACCGGCUAACUACGUGCCAGCAGCCGCGGUAAUACGUAGGGUGCAAGCGUUAAUUGGAAUUACUGGGUGUAAAGCGUGCGCAGGCGGUUCGGAAAGAAAGAUGUGAAAUCCCAGAGCUUAACUUUGGAACUGCAUUUUUAACUACCGGGCUAGAGUGUGUCAGAGGGAGGUGGAAUUCCGCGUGUAGCAGUGAAAUGCGUAGAUAUGCGGAGGAACACCGAUGGCGAAGGCAGCCUCCUGGGAUAACACUGACGCUCAUGCACGAAAGCGUGGGGAGCAAACAGGAUUAGAUACCCUGGUAGUCCACGCCCUAAACGAUGUCAACUAGCUGUUGGGGGCCUUCGGGCCUUGGUAGCGCAGCUAACGCGUGAAGUUGACCGCCUGGGGAGUACGGUCG
rnacentral:rRNA from 1 species